GGGGAAAAAUUAAUAAUUUAUUAAAAUAAUAAAAUAAAUUUUAAAGUUAAAUAGAUUUAAUGGGGGUUAAAGUAUAUUUAAUAGAAAAAAUUUAUAAAUUUAUAGUUAAUUAGUAUUGUGAAAGAAUUUUGAAAUAUUUUGAAAAUAAAUUUAUUUAAAAGUAAAUUUUAUUUAUUGUAUCUUGUGUAUCAGAGUUUAUUAAAAAUUUAUUAAUGUUUUAAUUUUCUCGAAUUUAAAAGAGAUAAUUAGUUAUUAAAGUUAUUGUAGUAUAAAUAUUUUAAAUAAUUAAUUUGAAAUGAAAUGUUAAUCGUUUUUAAAUAUAUCUAGUUUUUUUAGAAAAAAAUUUAAUUUUUAAUUUAUUUAAAAAUUAAUUAAAUAUUUAAUUAAUUUUUAAAUUAAAUUUAAUAUCUUAGGGGAUAAGCUUUAAGUUAAAUUUUUAUAAUAAAAAUUAUUUUAAAUUGAAAAUUUUAUAAUUUGAAUUGUUAAUAAAUUUUAUUUUAUUAUAAAUAAUUUCAUUUAAAUGAAAAUUUAUUUUGGUUUUAAUUUUUUAUAAAAAAUAAUUUUAUAAUUAUAAAAAUUUUGAUAUUAUGAUAAAAUUAGUAUAUAAUUAUGGAUAAUAAAUAUAUAAUGAAAAUUAAUAUAUUUUAUUUAAAUUGAAUGUAAUAAUUUUAAUUAAAGUAUUUUAAAGGAAUUCGGCAAAUUUUUAUAUUCACUUGUUUAUCAAAAACAUGUCUUUUUGUUAAUAUUUUAAAGUCUAAUCUGCCCACUGAUUAUUAUUGAAGGGCUGCAGUAUAUUGACUGUACAAAGGUAGCAUAAUCAUUAGUCUCUUAAUUGGUGACUUGUAUGAAGGAUUGAAUGAAAUAUAAACUGUCUUUAGAGUAUAUUAUUGAAUUUAAUUUUUUAAUUAAAAAGUUAAAAUAAUUUAAAAAGACGAGAAGACCCUAUAGAGUUUUAUAAUGUUGGUAAUUAAAAUUAUUUAUAAAAUUAUUGAUUAAAAUUAUUAUUAUUAUUUUAUUGGGGUGAUAAAAAAAUUAAAUAAACUUUUUUUAAAAAUAAUCAUAUAUAAAUGAAUAAAUGAUCCAGUAUUAUUGAUUAAAAGAUUAAAUUACCUUAGGGAUAACAGCGUAAUUUUUUUUUUUAGUUCAUAUAAGAAAAAGAGUUUGCGACCUCGAUGUUGGAUUAAGAUAAAAUUUAAAUGCAAAAGUUUAAAAUUUUUGAUCUGUUCGAUCAUUAAAAUCUUACAUGAUCUGAGUUCAAACCGGUGUAAGCCAGGUUGGUUUCUAUCUUUUAAAUUUUAAAAUAUUUUAGUACGAAAGGAUCAAGUAUUUUAAUUAAAUUAAAAAAUAUUGAAUUUUAUUAAUUAAUUAAUUAUAAAUUUAUAAUUAUAAAAAUGGAA
rnacentral:rRNA from 1 species